ACAGCAGCCGCCGCGGGAAUACGUAGGGUGCAAGCGUUAAUCGGAAUUACUGGGCGUAAAGCGUGCGUAGGUGGUGGUUUAAGUCCGUUGUGAAAGCCCUGGGCUCAACCUGGGAAUUGCAGUGGAUACUGGGUCACUAGAGUGUGGUAGAGGAUAGUGGAAUUUCCGGUGUAGCAGUGAAAUGCGUAGAGAUCGGAAGGAACAUCUGUGGCGAAGGCGACUAUCUGGGCCAACACUGACACUGAGGCACGAAAGCGUGGGGAGCAAACAGGAUUAGAUACCCCCGUAGUCCCUGUCUCUUAUAC
rnacentral:rRNA from 1 species